UACGGAGGGGGCUAGCGUUGUUCGGAAUUACUGGGCGUAAAGCGUGCGCAGGCGGUUCGUUGUGUCGGUGGUGAAAUCCCCGGGCUUAACCUGGGAAUGGCCAUGGAAACUGGCGAACUGGAGUGCGGCAGAGGGGGGUGGAAUUCCGCGUGUAGCAGUGAAAUGCGUAGAUAUGCGGAGGAACACCGAUGGCGAAGGCAAUCCCCUGGGCCUGCACUGACGCUCAUGCACGAAAGCGUGGGGAGCAAACAGG
rnacentral:rRNA from 1 species